UACGGGGGGGGUAAGCGUUGUUCGGAAUUACUGGGCGUAAAGCGUGCGCAGGCGGUCCGCAAAGUCUGAUGUGAAAGCCCCGGGCUCAACCUGGGAACUGCAUUGGAAACUAACGGGCUCGAGUGUGGCAGAGGGGGGUGGAAUUCCACGUGUAGCAGUGAAAUGCGUAGAGAUGUGGAGGAAUACCGAUGGCGAAGGCAGCCCCCUGGGAUAACACUGACGCUCAUGCACGAAAGCGUGGGGAGCAAACAGG
rnacentral:rRNA from 1 species